GAUGAAGAACGCAGCGAAAUGCGAUAAGUAAUGUGAAUUGCAGAAUUCAGUGAAUCAUCGAGUCUUUGAACGCACAUUGCGCCCCCUGGUAUUCCGGGGGGCAUGCCUGUCCGAGCGUCAUUGCUGCCCUCAAGCACGGCUUGUGUGUUGGGCCUCCGUCCUCCUCCCGGGGGACGGGCCCGAAAGGCAGCGGCGGCACCGCGUCCGGUCCUCGAGCGUAUGGGGCUUCGUCACCCGCUCUUGUAGGCCCGGCCGGCGCUUGCCGACACAUCAAUCUUUUUUCCAGGUUGACCUCGGAUCAGGUAGGGAUACCCGCUGAACUUAAGCAUAUCAAUAGCGGAGGA
rnacentral:misc_RNA from 1 species